AUUGAACGCUGGCGGAAUGCUUUACACAUGCAAGUCGAACGGCAGCACGGACUUCGGUCUGGUGGCGAGUGGCGAACGGGUGAGUAAUGUAUCGGAACGUGCCCAGUCGUGGGGGAUAACGUAGUGAAAAUUACGCUAAUACCGCAUACGAUCUAUGGAUGAAAGCGGGGGAUCGCAAGACCUCGCGCGAUUGGAGCGGCCGAUAUCAGAUUAGGUAGUUGGUGGGGUAAAGGCCCACCAAGCCAACGAUCUGUAGCUGGUCUGAGAGGACGGCCAGCAACACUGGAACGGAGACACGGGCCAGACUCCUACGGGAGGCAGGAGUGGGGAAUUUUGGACAAUGGGCGAAAGCCUGAUCCAGCCAUUCCGCGUGCAGGAUGAAGGCCCUCGGGUUGUAAACUGCUUUUGUACAGAACGAAAAGGUUUCUACUAAUACUAGGAGCUCAUGACGGUACUGUAAGAAUAAGCACCGGCUAACUACGUGCCAGCCGCCGCCGUAA
rnacentral:rRNA from 1 species